rnacentral:rRNA from 1 species
CCAUCAUUUAAAGAAAGCGUAAUAGCUCACUGGUCGAGUCGGCCUGCGCGGAAGAUGUAACGGGGCUAAACCAUGCACCGAAGCUGCGGCAGCGACACUAUGUGUUGUUGGGUAGGGGAGCGUUCUGUAAGCCUGUGAAGGUGUACUGUGAGGUAUGCUGGAGGUAUCAGAAGUGCGAAUGCUGACAUAAGUAACGAUAAAGCGGGUGAAAAGCCCGCUCGCCGGAAGACCAAGGGUUCCUGUCCAACGUUAAUCGGGGCAGGGUGAGUCGACCCCUAAGGCGAGGCCGAAAGGCGUAGUCGAUGGGAAACAGGUUAAUAUUCCUGUACUUGGUGUUACUGCGAAGGGGGGACGGAGAAGGCUAUGUUGGCCGGGCGACGGUUGUCCCGGUUUAAGCGUGUAGGCUGGUUUUCCAGGCAAAUCCGGAAAAUCAAGGCUGAGGCGUGAUGACGAGGCACUACGGUGCUGAAGCAACAAAUGCCCUGCUUCCAGGAAAAGCCUCUAAGCAUCAGGUAACAUCAAAUCGUACCCCAAACCGACACAGGUGGUCAGGUAGAGAAUACCAAGGCGCUUGAGAGAACUCGGGUGAAGGAACUAGGCAAAAUGGUGCCGUAACUUCGGGAGAAGGCACGCUGAUAUGUAGGUGAAGUCCCUCGCGGAUGGAGCUGAAAUCAGUCGAAGAUACCAGCUGGCUGCAACUGUUUAUUAAAAACACAGCACUGUGCAAACACGAAAGUGGACGUAUACGGUGUGACGCCUGCCCGGUGCCGGAAGGUUAAUUGAUGGGGUCAGCGCAAGCGAAGCUCUUGAUCGAAGCCCCGGUAAACGGCGGCCGUAACUAUAACGGUCCUAAGGUAGCGAAAUUCCUUGUCGGGUAAGUUCCGACCUGCACGAAUGGCGUAAUGAUGGCCAGGCUGUCUCCACCCGAGACUCAGUGAAAUUGAACUCGCUGUGAAGAUGCAGUGUACCCGCGGCAAGACGGAAAGACCCCGUGAACCUUUACUAUAGCUUGACACUGAACAUUGAGCCUUGAUGUGUAGGAUAGGUGGGAGGCUU